CUACGGGCGGCAGCAGUGGGGAAUAUUGCACAAUGGAGGAAACUCUGAUGCAGCAACGCCGCGUGGAGGAUGACACUUUUCGGAGCGUAAACUCCUUUUAUAUAGGAAGAUAAUGACGGUACCAUAUGAAUAAGCACCGGCUAACUCCGUGCCAGCAGCCGCGGUAAUACGGAGGGUGCAAGCGUUACUCGGAAUCACUGGGCGUAAAGAGCGUGUAGGCGGGUUAAUAAGUCAGAAGUGAAAUCCUAUGGCUCAACCAUAGAACUGCUUUUGAAACUGUUAACCUAGAGUGUGGGAGAGGUAGAUGGAAUUUCUGGUGUAGGGGUAAAAUCCGUAGAGAUCAGAAGGAAUACCGAUUGCGAAGGCGAUCUACUGGAACAUAACUGACGCUGAGACGCGAAAGCGUGGGGAGCAAACAGGAUUAGAUACCCCCGUAGUC
rnacentral:rRNA from 1 species